CAGAUGGAGUCCAGAGGAGCCUGAAGAGAAGAGUUACACUACUGUUCGUGUGUAUCUUGAGUUGCAAUUAUGCAUGGCAAAUGAGUGAGAUGUUGGCGGAUGCUGAAAUGACCAACACAACCAGCAAAGUUAGAUAGGGCUAUCUCGCUAUAAGCUAGGUGAUCGAGGUGCGUGGCUUCACGCCAUAAUAUCGUUUACAGAUCAACAACUUCGAAACCACAAUAUGCAAGCACCUUGCAGGUUGUGAUCGAAGGACUCCAUAAGAACUAUUCCAUUUUAUUGGUAAUAUCAUAUCAAUAUAUAUUUCUCCUUUUACAAAAAUGGUGCUCGACCACUAUCAACAAGUUUAGU
rnacentral:lncRNA from 1 species